GCUUAUCACCAUUCCAGAUUGAAUAUACCCGAUCUCGUCUGAUCUCGGAAGUCAAGCAACCUCGGGCUUGGUUGGUACUUGG
rnacentral:rRNA from 1 species